UGUAUAUGUUUUAUGUAUUUUAUAAAAGUUUUUCCUGUGAUUCAGACUUCAUGUACUGGAAAGCAAAGAUCAUUAUUGAGGAGUACAUGGAAUCUGCUGCAAAUACCAUCUGGCCAUGGACAAAUGACAACAGUCGUUCACCACUAAUCAUGAAUGGUGUACACAAUGGGGGUCUCUCCACCAUGCAGACCCAAACAAUCAGCAUAUCUGCGUUUAUGAAUAGGUUGACAUGAUAAAAGCUAUAUCUACAGUAGCAUGUUCCGUCAAUCACUUCAUUAUUAUAUUUGGCAACAGACAAGUUAAAAGUUUAUUAUCUGUUUUAUGUUACAUCUUUGGAGUUUUUGUUUCCUUACUGGUCAUCAUCUCUGGUUUUCUUUGUGAGGGUAAAUAGAAAUCAUGUUUUUUUUAGACUAAUCACCUUUUCACUAUUUACACUUUUGUAUCCCUUUCCACAAUCAUUGGUUUCCUCACUGGGUAUAAUGAGAACGUCAAACAUAUUUAAAUGUUAACAUGUAUAAUGGAUGUUUUAACAAUAUACUUUUUUGGACAUUGAACAUACACUAAAUUAUAUUAAAUGAACAGGUGUUGCAUACCUUGCUGGAAUUUUCCCUGGUGAUAGCUGUAUAAAAGAAUAUACUCGGUACUUAACAAUUUAAUGAAUGAUUAUGGUAAAAUAAGUCUAAAUAUAUGUCACUUGCUUACCCCCAGCAAUCUCUGUGCAAAAUGCACACAGUUAUUUGUAAAAGGAUGAGAAAUACCAAUACAUUGUAUGGCAUUCUUAACAUAGUUUUGUCUCUGGACGGUUAAUGGGAAGUGGCUUUUGUGCUAUAAAGUUCUUCACACUUCUAAAGCUCAGUAAAUCAUUCCCACCUGAUGAUGAUGAAGUGGAUUCGAAGGGGCUGUAAAGCAGAAGUCUGUAUAUUGUGAUGCAUGUAAAUUAUAUAAAUGUAUUUGAUUACUAUUUCUAAACUAAAAUGCAGUUCAAUUCUUGUUGUUCACUGAAAAUUCAAUGACCAUUGUAUAACCCUGAUAAAAUAAACAAAUCGAGUUGGCAGUUUU